rnacentral:rRNA from 1 species
ACACGUCUACAUUAGAUACCCCUGUAGUCCCAGCCGUAAACUAUGCGCGUUAGGUGUAUCGGUGACCACGAGUCACCGAGGUGCCGAAGGGAAACCGUGAAACGUGCCGCCUGGGAAGUACGGUCGCAAGGCUGAAACUUAAAGGAAUCGGCGGGGAGCACCACAACGGGUGGAGCCUGCGGUUUAAUUGGACUCAACGCCGGGAAGCUCACCGGAUAAGACAGCGGAAUGAUUGCCGGGCUGAAGACUCUGCAUGACUAGCUG